rnacentral:rRNA from 1 species
CGGACGGGUGAGUAACACGUGGAUAACCUACCUAUAAGACUGGGAGUAACUUCGGGAAACCGGAGCUAAUACCGGAUAAUAUAUUGAACCGCAUGGUUCAAUGGUGAAAGACGGUUUUGCUGUCACUUAUAGAUGGAUCCGCGCCGCAUUAGCUAGUUGGUAAGGUAACGGCUUACCAAGGCAACGAUGCGUAGCCGACCUGAGAGGGUGAUCGGCCACACUGGAACUGAGACACGGUCCAGACUCCUACGGGAGGCAGCAGCA